AAGACCUUGCGCUUUUGGAGCGGCCGAUGCCUGAUUAGCUUGUUGGUGAGGUAAAAGCUCACCAAGGCUUCGAUCAGUAGCUGGUCUGAGAGGACGACCAGCCACACUGGGACUGAGACACGGCCCAGACUCCUACGGGAGGCAGCAGUGGGGAAUUUUGGACAAUGGGGGCAACCCUGAUCCAGCCAUGCCGCGUGAGUGAAGAAGGCCUUCGGGUUGUAAAGCUCUUUCAGCCGGAACGAAACGGUCACGGCUAAUACCUGUGACUACUGACGGUACCGGAAGAAGAAGCACCGGCUAACUACGUGCCAGCAGCCGCGGUAAUACGUAGGGUGCGAGCGUUAAUUGGAAUUACUGGGCGUAAAGCGUGCGCAGGUGGUUUUGUAAGUCAGAUGUGAAAUCCCCGGGCUUAACCUGGGAACU
rnacentral:rRNA from 1 species